GCCAGGUGUGAGGGCACAUGCCUGUAAUCCCAGCUACUUGGGAAGCUGAGGCAAAAGGAUCACUUGACUCCAUGAGUCUGUUUGACAUCAGUGUGGGCAACAUAGUGAGAUCUU
rnacentral:sRNA from 1 species